rnacentral:rRNA from 1 species
UACGGCGGGUGCAAGCGUUAUCCGGAUUCACUGGGUUUAAAGGGAGCGUAGGUGGGCUGGUAAGUCCGUGGUGAAAUCUCCGGGCUUAACUCGGAAACUGCCGUUGAUACUAUCAGUCUUGAAUAUUGUGGAGGUAAGCGGAAUAUGUCAUGUAGCGGUGAAAUGCUUAGAUAUGACAUAGAACACCGAUAGCGAAGGCAGCUUGCUACACAAUUAUUGACACUGAGGCACGAAAGCGUGGGGAUCAAACAGG